rnacentral:lncRNA from 1 species
GUCGGCAGCAGGUUGCACCCGUCGGCAGAAUGAUUUUGGGGAGAUGAAUAUGUAGAGCUCAGUUGGUAGAAGAUGAAGAAGGCCAGAACUCAUAUGUUAAUGUAUGUAUGUGUACGUGCAUUGGUUUGUAUAUCUAGGGCUUGAUUUAGGGUUUACAAGUAAGAAAAAGAACGAUAUUAGGUAGAAGAUGAAGUUGUAGGCUUAUAGAAGUGGGUUGAUGAUGAUAAUGAUUCUGAGUUGUAGUGCAGUUAUGUAGUAUGUGGGAGAUAUAUCAGAAUGUGUAAUGUAGUUAUCCUCUCAUACAUAUUUGAGGCUAUAUAUAGCUCAUGUAGUUAGACUCCUACUCUCCCUCUAACUCCUAUUUUUCCUUCUUCUCUUGCUCCACGUGCAUGUUAACUCCCUCCUAUAUUGCUGGCACUUCUUCAACUACUGUUUGAAUUCUCCUCCUAAAUAGGUGGGCUUGUUAGGACUCAGUCUUCAUGCUUAUCCACUUGUUACAUCACAGUUGCUUUCUCGUCAUGUCGAUGAUUCAUCCCGUCAUGUUCAUGUAUGUCCCGUCAUGUCUUGACACCUGUAAAAUCUGGGUACAAACAAUAGUCAAGACAUGACGGGUACCAACUGAGCUCUACAUAUUCAUCUCCCCAAAAUCAUUCUGCCGACGGGUGCAACCUGCUGCCGACGUGUGGACAUUGUUGACGGACGUGAACUGCUUUGGAGCCGAUGACAGCAUCUUUUUGUACUUGUAUCUUGUAUUUCUCAUGCUUGUAAGAUGUACUUCAACAUUAUAGUGGACAUUUGGCUGGGACAUUCCCACCCGCGGUUUUUAACCUUUUACAAGGGGUUUUCCGCGUCACCAAAAUUGCUUGUGUUCUUAUCUUUUACUUUCUUUUCGAUACUUGUCCAUUCGAUCUUCUAAAUAUUCAUACAUAAAACACAUACUCCAUUGUUAUAGAAAUUAAAUAGGCUUGGCUUUUAACCCCGCAAAUUUUGGUUAAAACAAAAAUUUAGACAGGCUUUUUAAGCUGCUGAACAUAUUUAGCAUCCCAUUCACAAAACAUGUAUCAUCAGCAAAAAAAGGUGGGAAAUACCCGAAUCUUUAGAUUUUCGUUGAAAGACAAGUCCGAGAUGUAGUAGCUCGAGCUAUAAAUGCUGAGAAGACUUCCAUUGCAAGAACAAAUGACAGAGGGUCGCCUUGUCUGAUGCCCGAAGCUCCUCUAAAAUAUCCUUCUACCGCACCAUUCACUUCAACUGAAAUCAUGGCAGAUGUGACACAUUUUUACCCUGCUGAGAGGAUUCGAAACUGAGUUAGAGCUGUCUCUGUAUGCUCAGUGAUUGAUGGGGAAGUGAGUCGUGAAACUGAGUUGGAGUUGCCUCUGUUUAACUCGCUCGGGUCAGGUUUGAUCUUGAUUAGUCCAUUCAUUAAGUUAUGUUGAGUUAUCGUAAUCACGGGACUUUGGACAUAGAGGGCUUGCAAUCAGGAAAAUGAAAGGAUCAGCUUCAUCAAUGGCUCCACCAUGCCAACAAACACUCAGAUUUGCCAUAAUUUUACAUUAAAUAUUACAAAAUAUAAAUUGUGUAAAUACAAUAAUCUACUUUACACAACCCUCAAAGUCCCACACACCAGAUCAAUGCAAACCAAACAUAUAUAUUCAUUUAUCUCAAACUAGGAUACAUAAAAGUAAGGUGUAUGCGGAAUUCAGCCUUACUCAUAAGAGAAACAGAGGCAGUUUCCAGGGAAGUAGGUUGUUUACCAACUCUCCCACAACUAUAACAGCAAAAAGGUAACUUUGAACUUCAAGAAAUCACAAAAAACUCGUUCUUGAAGGGAUCAAUAUGGACACUCAAAGCAAGCGAAACAAAAUCCAACACCCAAACCAAAUUAUAUACUAACUAAUACAAAGCCGCUAAAACUCAAUCUCCCUAGGGGGAAAAAUCAAAAUCGGAAUACCAAACACAAAAUCAUCUUCUUUUUCUCCUCAUAUGUUAUUCUUCAUCAGAACUGCUUGAACUGGAACCUGAACUGGAGCUGGAACUAGAGCUUGAUUUAUGAGACUUAGUCUUUUUAUGCUCGACAGUGGAUUCCUUCAAAUCUUUUGUCGUUUCAGCUUCUUGGAAUAGCUUCUCUGCAGUCUCUGAGCUAGUUUCUACCACACCAGAUACUUCCCUCCUGGAUUCAAGAGAAUUACUGGAAUGCAAUUCAUCUACCAUUAGGUCCGCUGUCUCUAUUUCAGAAUCUGCAAUUGGCAGCUUCUCUGCAUUAGCUGGAGAUACAUGCACUGUUGCUGCAUCAAAGUCAUCAUUAGAUCUUGCUUCAUCAACAUGCACACCGAAUACAGUUUCAACUGGAUCGUGGGAUUCAGCAGAGUCUAGAUCAUCACCAUCUGAGCCACGAGGAAUCAGUCUGUCAACGGAUUCUCCAAGCUGCUGUGCUACAGCUGAUUGACUGUCUUGAACUAGUUUGGAUUUAGUAACUGUUAUAUCAGAUUCGCUCUCAUGAGGAACCAAACCUUCAUGCAGCAUCUCAAGUCGAGAAUAUUCACCCACAGUUUCCUCCAGAGACAGCUUAGCAUUGAGCAAACUAAGAGCAUAUUGUUUCUCAUUAUCAGUUCCAAUAACCUGAUCUAUGUCUGAUUCGAUAUUAUUGAAAGAACGUGGUUCAAGAACUGGCAUCACAAGUUCAGUCUCUGCAUUCAGUGAAUCUUGCUGUAGUUCGAGAGAUGAUUUUACAUCAUUGAUUAAAUUGGAUUCAGGCAAUGUUGGGUUGAAUUUGCUCUCAGGCAGAACUGAACCUUCAUUUAUCAUCUCAUGUUGAGAAUACCCAUCCAAACUUUUACAUGGAGACAGUUCUGUAUGCACCAGAUCCAAAGCAUAUUGUUCCUCACUUCCUUUUGCAUCAACCUGAGCUGAGGCUGAUCGAAUACCAUCAAGAGAAAGUGUUUCAUAAACCGGCAUCCCAACUUCAGACUUAACAUGCAAUGGAUCUUGGGGAAGCAUGUCAGAUUCCCCAGAACCAACAUACAAUUUUUCUGACAUAGCUUCAGCUGUUUUAUAACUGUAUUCACUAUCAUGGAUCUCUUGCACCUCAAAACUCUGAAUGCCAGUAUCUAUCUCUCCCUCAUUUGGGUUUUGCAAUAUAUUUGAAUUGGCAAGUUCUGAGGCAGUUUCUGCUGGAAGUGGUUUAUCUUUGGUUUUCUCUAAAUUUGAUAGAUCCACAGCAUGUUCCUCACAUACAUUUGCAUCAAGCUGACCCAAGACAGAUUGUAUAUCAUCAAUAGAACGUGCUUCAAGAACCGGCAUCCCGACUUCAGAUUCCCCGAGUCCAACAUACAUUUUCUCUGACACAGGUUCAGCUGCUUCAUAACUACAUUCAUUAUCAUGGAUUUCUUGCAUCCCAACACCCCAAAUGCCAGAAUUUGUCUCCCCUGCAUUUGGGUUUUGCAUUAUAUUUGCAUCGGCAAGUUCUGUGGCAGUUUCCUCUGGCAGUGGUUUACCAUUAGUUUUUUCAGAAUCCAACAGAUCCACUGCAUAUUGUUUCUCACUUACAUUUGUAUCAACCUGUCCCAAGGCAGCUGGUACAUCAUCAACAGAAUGUGCUUCAAGAACUGGCAUCCCAACUUCAGUCUUGACAUGCAAUGAAUCUUGGUGAAGUAUCUCACGCUCCCCAAACCCAACAUACACUUCCUCUAGCAUAGGUUCAGCUUCUUUAUAGCUGAAUUCAUUAUCAUGGAUAGAUUGCACCUCAACAGCCGGAACACCAGAAUUAAUCUCUCUUGCAUUUUGAUUUUGCUCUGUGGCAACUUCUUCUGGCAGUGGUCUAUCGAUAAUUGUUUCAGAAUCCAAUAGAUCCGCAGCUUCCACCUUAAAGAUCUCUCUGUUAUAUGAAUCAAGACGCUCGCCAAAACUUGUUUCAGAAAUCUGAAAUGCUGAAGCCUCUUCCAUUUCCUCAGAAAUAGUUGCCGGCUCCUCGACCCCAGAUGCUCUGAAUUUCUGCUCAUCACCUAGAGCAACUCCAGUACAAUCAUUUCUGUUUUUUUGUUCUUCAGAAGAGUUCAUAAUAUUGUGCAUCAUGAGGAAGCUCUCUCCACGAGAUUCAUGAAAAUCUGAUUUAUAAUCUUCAAUACCAAAGUCACCAACAGUGUCCAAUUCAUGUAGCAAUUCUUCGUCUAUCUCCUCAAUAUAAUCUAGAUCCUCAACGUUGUCUUCCAUAUUACCAGUAGUAGAAUCUGCUUCAAUCCGAAAUGUGUCGUGCUCUAAGACAUGAAUUGUCUCAUCACAUCCAACUCUAUCAAGGAUGUCCUCAUCUAAAUCUGCUCCAGGUGCUUCAAGUUCUAUAGCCUCAGGUAGGAUGGAUGAAGAUUCAAAAGUUUUAGGAGGGUCGAUAUCCUGAUGAAUUUUAUCAAGUUCUUGGAAGUCCAAAUCUAUCAAGUUGGUCGACUCCUGAUUAGAAAUAAAUGGUCUUAGUUUAUCUUAUUACAAAGCUUAACAAAAUCUUUGUGCUUAUAAUACUGAAGAGUUGCACAGUAACCUUUUAAGUAACAUUAACACAUCUUGCAAGUAUUAAAAUGAAUAACAACAAAUGAAAACCUUGCUUUAAAGAUACAAAAUAUGUGAAGAUGCCAGAGUUAUAGAUAGAUAAAACUUAAUCAGUACUAUUAGUGCUCUUACAUGCCACAACUAACAAGAAGCUAAAGAAAGCUGAACUUUCAGUUUGCAUUUUACACUCAAUUACUUAACACUUCUAAACAAACUAUUUAUGCAACAUAAGAAGUUGAAGCUUGUUUACCAAGAAACUGAAAUAAAGCAUGGCAUAUACAAAUAGGCAAGUUUAAACAUGCAUCAAAUUACUUAGCAAAAAAAAAAACAAAAAAAAACAUGCAUCAACUUUCGCAGUUUACUCGUAAGUUUGUCCCAGUAUAAAGUAGCAAUAAAUUGCUGACAAGAUAAACAACUCUUAACAAAGUAUUUCACCUCACUCUUAUAUACUAGUAUCAAUAUACUCUUGAUCCAUCUAUUACCAAAUUAAAUAUGUAUAAGAACUAGAUGAUGAUUAAUAACAUACCUAAGUCUGAAAACAAGCCGAGUGAGUUACUAUAUAUCUAAAACAAACACUAGAUAGCUAACCAGCAUAUGAGCAUAUCACAUAUAGGAUUUCUGGCCAGAAACAUAAUGUCUACGAUUCAAGAUAUUGUGCAAAUGCAAUGCCAAUAUUGCAGAAAAAUUGUUGUUGACAUUAGAAUAGUUUGUUUUAAUAACAAGUAAGUCACACAUAUUUGAGGCAAAUUAUCAGCAUGUAAUGAAACAGAAAUUAACUACUUACUUGUAGUCCUUUAGUAUUCCUUGGGAAUUGUUCAUUUUCAGAUUGAUCCGUCAAAGGCAAACCUCUCUCAAACUGUGACAUGUGCUCUUCUGAAGGAGGUUGAUGCUGUGCAAGAACCAACUUCUCAUCUACUUCAUCAACAGGAGUUUCGACAACGUCUUGAUUAUUGACUUCAUAUUCUUUCUGGGUAAAUGAGAUCAUUCUCGGAACAAAACUUGGUGGUGAACUGGUCACAGCCUUUUCCGUGAGCAAAUUAGAUUCUACAGAGGAAGAAGAGACUUUCUCAUCUAACGCUCUAGGGGUUGAAUCAUAAACCGGCUCCUUCUUUUGAGCAUCAUCCACCAAUUUUCUGGUGAUUUCAGUAUCUGAUUUUUCCAUUGACGAUUGAUGUAAAAUGGUAAAAUUCUCAUUGGAGUUGCCUCCCAAUGGUUCUGAAAUUGACAAUAGUUCAUCUUCAUUCCCUGCAUAUAUCUCUUCAUUUACUUCCGAAACUGAUGACAAACUCUGAGUAGAUUCUACUGCUUCUGUAUUCAGAUGAACUUCAUUUGUGUUGGGUUCUACAGAAGUAGCUGCAGUAGUUGUAGCAAAAAAGCUUGACACCUCCCGAUAAUCUUCCGCAUCUAACAAGUGGACUUUGUAUUCAUCGUUUACGUCAACUCUCUCCUCUUGAUCUAUAUCAUUUGAGUCUUCAUCUUCAGACGAAUCACUUCCAUGUCCAACAUGUUCAGAAGGGUGCUCAGGGAUGGAACCAAGUUCCGGUUCUGCAAUAGAAUUCAACUCCGUUUCAUUCACUAAAUCUUCUUCAAUGGGCUUUUCAUGUUCUAAAUCUCUCUCAAUUGGCUUCUCAUGUUCCAAAUCUUCUUCAAUGGUCUUCUUAUCUUCCAAAUCUUCAUCAGAAGUAAUUGACUCUGUUUCAGGCACAGAACUUGCCUUAGACUCACUAAGGUCACUUGAUUGUCUAUGAAAUGAACCAUAGCUUGUUCCUUCUGAAGUCAUCCGCUCUGGAAUAAAGUAAGGUUUAAAUUUGCUUUCAUGUCUCGAAGUUCCAAAUAAGGAAGGACCAACAUUGAAAGUUUCAUUCCUACGGAAGAUGGGCUCCUUUGACUGAAGUGUCAUCACAUCUUGUUGAAAAUCGUCUCCCAUCAGAUCAGGUUUCUCUUCGCUCGAAUCAUAAGGAAGAUCGAAAGGGUUCCUUCUCUGUGACAUAAUUGAUGGUGCAGAACCAGGAAUAGGGGGCAAUCCCAUGUCAUCAUCAUAUGGAAGAUCAAAGGGGUUGCGCCUUGCAGUUGAUAUGUGUGCAAUACUGAAAGGAAGAUCGGCACUAUCAAAGUCUAUCAAGUUUCUCUCUGUCAUCAUCUUCAUGCUUUUCCGUAAUCUUCGUCUUGCAAUGAGACUCUCCAAACGCUUGUUUCUUUCCAGCUCAGAAGUACCCAAAUCCAUAAGAUUUUUUUGGUCAACUUCUGUCCAUCUGAUAGCAGAUUUAUCCUCAUCAAUAUUAUCUGCAUGUCCCUCUUGUUCUUCCUCAUCAUCUACAUUUUCUAAGUCAUCUUCAUGGUUCUCAAUAUUGCCAUCCAAUUCAUUAUCCUCACUAGAUGAUGACUCUGAAGAACUUUCUGAUGUACCAUCAGAUCCCUCAAGGGACAUACGAGUAAGUUGAGGAGCAUUUUCAUCUAAAAGAGGGUGAAGCUCAUCAAGCAAUGGUAUAAUAUCUGCCAUUGAAGCAUCCGGAGAGGAACUUUCAGCCCCAUCUGACUCAGAAUCUGAUUCAUCAUCAUCAUCAUAAUCAUCAUCAUCCUCUUCAUGUUCCUCAUCCUCAUGUUUCCUCGGUGAACCUAGUGGAGAUGUUCGAUCCAAGGUCUCGGCACCAACAUAAGCCUCGAAUAAGUUUGCAUUUUCAAAUUCAUCAACAGUCUGUUGAACCGGAGUGUACAAAUUUGUCAGUACUUCACCAUCCCCCUCCCUCCUUUCAUUCUUAUGCCCAAAUACCACAUCAUGCGAGUCACUCUCUCCAUGAUUUUCCCACUUCUCAAACUGAAACUCACGAGAACUCUCCUCUAUCAGCGGUGCACUUUCAGCUAAACCAUCGUGAUUACCAACAUCACUGAAAUCAUUACCAGUUGAUCUCACUUCUUCAACCAAUUUAUCCAUAUCACUUCUACUCUCACUGUAUCUUUCAACCCUAUAGCUCCCAUCCCUCUCCACCACACUAUGAUCCCACCCACCCCCAGUCCGAAGCGACGCAAUCUCAUGAUUAACCUCUUCUUUUUCAAUUUCAGGUAUAUUAGGCUGCCCAAAACUCAACAAAGUCCCAAGCAAAACAGCAGUGGAAACAAGAACAGGGGACGCAGAAACCAAAAAGGAAAACAACAAAGGAAAAGAUCUGUGCAUAAAAAACAAAACAAUCACCAUACCCACAAAGAAUGGAUGCUUACACACUGAUCUAUAACAUGUUCUAACACUAAAGAUCACACCUUUUUUAACCUGAACACCAUCCAUACCUCCCACACCUAAUCACAACUUCCUUCUGCACAAUCUAUACAGUAAAUAACCAAGAAAAUCAAAUAUAAAGAAACCCCACUUGCUCAAUCAAACAAAAUCUCAAGAAAACCAAAAAAAACCCAAUCUAGACCAAAUCAGGCAAUAAAAAAAUGUAGAUACAGAGAAAAAAGUGUAUAUUACCAGGCUGAGUUGAUGAAAUAGUGAUGAAAUAAAAGCAGAGUAAUAUUAUUUAGGCAAUAUGAAACAGAGAGACAGACAGCUAUGAAAUGUGUACAUGCGUUUCACUUGAGGCAUUGAAUUGGUAAGUGAUAGCAACAUGGUGGGGGCGUGGGGCGGUACCGAAAGAAAAGAUGUGUGUAUAUAUUCAACAGUACAGUGUUAAAGGAAGAUAAAGUUCAUUUUCUUACCUUUUUCUUUUUCGAAAGAGAAUGGCACCUAGUAUUUAGGGUUGUUAAUUCAGACAGACAGAGACAGGGUUAUGGACUAUUAUAAAACUAACGACUGUUGUAAUAACAACUAACAAAAGCCCAUAAACACGAGUUGUGUUUUUUCCUUGCGUGCACGUUGUGUUAUAAAUGGAGACGAAGAUCUUGUCCAAACAAUUUUUGUAAGAGCAAUGCUAGGUACCCCAAAAGAUUUUCCCAAAAAUUGUUACCAAAUGAUGUGGCAAACAAGUGGAGAGUUAUGAUUGGGUGAUGGAUGAAUCUACAAGGGGGCCUCAUUAUUUUGGGAGUAAAUGCAACCAAUCAGGAUUAGACACCUCAUUUGGGAAAAAAAUUUGGGACAAUUUUUUGGGGUCCCUAGCAUUUUCCUUUUUGUAAUUAAUGUGACAAGUUGUAAGAUAAUUUUUGGAGUUUGUGUUAUAAAUUGAGAUGGGUAAACUAUAAAACAUAAAUUAAUGUUGUGCAUUAGCAUGUAAGAAUGCUUUCAAAGUGAGGUUAUUGAAUACUCCUAUUAUUGACGAGUUCAAUCAAAGGUUGAUCAAAAUUAAUUGAAUAAAAAAUUUAUCAUUUAGUUUAUUCGGCAUUUGCGUUGACGGGUGUAUCUAAAAAUAUGCGUGCUAAGCACCAUAAUUUCUAUUACAAGUACAUUAAGAUCUGACGUGAUUUUGAGAUUGAAGAAUCAGCUAGGUUAUAUACACUUUAGAGCAUCUCCAACUGCGUUGGUUAUAAUCGUUGGUUAAAUUGGACCUGUAAGAUAUUAUGUAAAAUUUGCUGAACCUGUAAAACAUUUUGCUUCAAUGAUACUGGCUAUAUUGGUUGGUUAUAAUUUAAAAAUAGUAUGUUAUUAAUAUUUUUAAUUGUUAAAAUAAAAUAUAUCGGUUCAAUAUGGUAAUAAAUGAUGUACAAUCUUCCUACAGAUUUUCUUACAGACCUGUAGAGAUUCGACAAAUUUAGUCAUCCAUAGGAGGUUGGCUAAAUUUAUAGAUAACAGGUGAGCAUGGUUGGAGUUGAGUUUUUGGAGUUGUUGGCUAAAUUUUUUUAUUUUAAGUAAGCGAACUCAUUUUUUAGCCAAGGGCUUUAGAUAGUUGGAGAUACUCUCAUAUGCUUAUUUUCUUAUAAGAAUGUCAUUAAUUUGUAUGUACAUAUAUCCAAGUAUAGAAACUAAAAUAAAUUCUGCAUGCAAUUUUUCGGCUAAAUGAAUACAUCAGUCAAUUUUGAAUACGAGUAGUUUGAAAUGUUCAUUAAAGGUACCUCAUCUCAAAUAAAAUCAUAAUUUAUUUUUAAAUUAAAUUUAGAUUGAACAAACUUUUUCUGUCAAAAAAAAAAAAGGAAGAAAAAGAAGAGAAGAACAAACCUUACCAGUUGUUUGGUGUAAAUAUGUAAUACGUAUUUUCUAAAGCAUACGUGACCAUUAAGAAGAGCGCCCAUCUGAGUUAAAGUUUAACCAAUUACCCUUCAAUUAUUCGAUUUGAAUGCUAAUCACGUCUUAAUACUCAACCAAAAUCUGAUUGCAAGCAUGUAGGGUUCUUCAACGUCAUAAACACAAUCAUUCUCAACUGAGCAAACGAUCACAGUAUACAUCUACUUUUUAUUUACGUUUUACACAAGCUUACAAUGGUCAUAUAUCAGUAACAACCCUCCACCUUUUGUGAAUGGCUUUUCUGUUCCAGGAUUUAAACUGUGUACCCUGGCACCUUCGCGUAUCCUAGUGAUACUGGAGUCUUGUUCUUUUCCGAUAUCAGUCCAGCAUUUCAAAUCAGAUCGGAUUAUCUGUUUUGAAACUUUUAACCAUAUCUGAGUGUCGAUGACAAGAUUUGUAUAUACUUAUUCUGAAAUUAAAAAGGAUAACUAAAAAACAAACUAUCGUGGUAACUAACAUGGAUGGUCCUGUUUAGGCGUGGCCAUGUCUGCAGCAUCUAUUCCAACAUUUGCCCCAUUCUUGGUGCUCUGAGAUUCAGUUCCAGUUUCUUCAUUGAUGCUGUCCAAGUGUGAUUUCAUCAUUUAAGUGACAUUCAUGAAGAUAUUCCUCAGAGGACUCAGAUUCUCCGUCAGUCAGAGAAUGUUCAUGCAGUGAUUCAGGCAAGUCAGAUGAAUGUGGACAUCCAGAGUUUAAGUCAGACAUAUUCAUAUCUUCCCCCUUCAUUCUUUGUGCAUAGGUAUUAUAGUCAAACCCAACCUUGUUAUUACCACCAAAAGCAGAUUCUAACUUGUCCAUGUCGAAUAUAGAUUCUAUUAACUUUCUGCACUGUGGAUCAUUUGAGUACACAAAUUUUACUUUUUCGUACAUCUUCUGGUCAAUUAUCGGUCUUACCAUCUGCAAGAAAUGAUAAAAAAAAUUACUUUAACUCAUAUAAUCAUGUUCAGAAUUUUGGAGAUCUUUAUCAAGUACAGCUCAACAACGUAAAAAGAAAAAGAACUUUUUCAGCAAUUUUAUUUAGAUAAGAUGAGUUUGAAGCAUUCAAACAAUGUUAAUGUUUAAGCUAUUGUUUAAAGAUCUCCAGAAUAUCUGCUUACCGAGCGUUGGGACAAAGUUGUAAUGAAUUAACCAACAUUUUGCGUCUGAUUAGAGAGUAAUAUUCAAUUUGAUUGGUGGAGAAAAGUUCACACUUAAAAGUCAAGAAGGUUUUUUUAGUUAGGGUACAUGACAAUAUACUUUCUCUCUUGGAUUAUUGCUAUAAUUAUCAUCUUUUGCUACAUUCACUUUCAGAGAAUCAGAAUUCACAAUUUCUAUAUGCUGUGGUCAUAUCAAUUUUCUGGAGAAAGGCAAGUAAUAACUAACAAGGCAAGGUCACUAUCCAUACACUUGUGACUUUAAUGACAUAUCAAGGUGAACGUAGGCAUGCUGGUUAAAAUGCUAACCUCAAGAAAAGUACAUCACAUAACUGAAGAAAACAGAGAGUACAUACUGGGUAGAAAGCCUCAAAGACUUUUGGUGGAUUAUACAGUAUUGCCAGGCCCAGCCUUUCUGGGUAACAGUUCUGCAGUAUGUGAGCCACAUCCUUGGUGAUCUUCAAUGAUAAUUUGGACUUGGUAUAGCCUUGAAAAUCAAUAAGCCACACCAUCUGAUCCUGACCUGAUCCCAUUUUCUUUAUGGCUUUCUCUAUACAAUAAACUAAGUACUUAAUUUUCCCUUCAUUCGACGUGGAAUUCUGACAUAAUUUAGAUGUAAAGAAAAGUUUAAAAAGAAAACAAGCAAAUCCUAAUAUAUUGCUUGAUGUAAACCUAAUGUUAAUUUUUGAUAUAUUAUGGAUAAAAGUUUUAUCGACCUCAUAACCUGGUCUCAUGACAACUAUGGACCUCCCAUGCUUGUCAAAGUAAUCAGCUCUGUAAAUUUCUCCCGUCUCUGCUUCAUGAGCAAUAUCUUCCUACAUAGUGGUAAAACAUAUAUCAAGAAAUCAUUCAAGAUAGAUAUCAAACAUUCAAUACAAAGAUUCCAGUUUGAUCUUGAUUCCACAAGAAAUUAUACCCGUACUGUAGAAAUAUCACACUGAUAUAAAACAUCGUUUCUCUAACCACAAAAUCAAGAAUUCACUGCUCGAAGAGAGAAAAUACAAAUAGUUGCUUGAAAACUCCCUAAGUAAUCAGGAGGAGUCGUCUAAAUUUUUGAAUGUAAAAAUUUUUCAAUUCACGGAAUUGAUUAUUCUACUUGCAUGACACAUAUACAAUGGUUUACUGCCACUGAUGGAUCAGUAAGUUGCUUUAGCUUUAAGAGUCAGCUGGCAACCUUGGAGAGGGGUACCACCACGAGGGAUCAGUAAAUAAGAAAAAAAAAUUAACAGAAACAACAGUACGGGUAAUAUCAACCAUAUAAACUGAAUACACACCCAUUGAAUCUUCUCGGGUUUGAAAACCAAUCGCCACUUAUAGGCAUCCUUCAGCAUUUUUGUUGUUUUUUUAAUGUUCCAGUUAUUUGCUCCUAGAAACCUCAGCAUUGAUGCUUCUGAAAAUAGAGUUGGAUACUUAUCGGCAGCAGGACCUAUCUGCUUCUUAAUCUGACAGAUCUGAACUAAAGGAGAACUUGAUUAAUUUACAACAUUAAGAAAAACAUUACGUCUGCUAUAUAACUAUAACUGAGUUUUUUCUCUCUUUCUUUUGGAGCAGCUACAUGAAUUUAAAAAUUGUACGCACUUUCGUAGCAAAAAGGAAGAAAAAAAACUGUAUGCACACUAUGCCUCUAUUGAGGCUUGAACCUUACACCUCCAGUAAACUAGUACCUGAACUU